UGGAGCAGAAGCGCGACUGACGGUACUCACUCUUCGGAGUGGAAGCUGAGGAAACUCCCGACUGCAUGUCGGCACCAGUCCUGCUAGAGCAGGGAGGCGAGAGCCUCGCUCUGGGAACAGAAACGACACCCCCAAACUGGAUACGACUAUGAUGCAGAGUUCUAAUCUGUUGAGGAUCAGUUUGGACCGGUUGAAACGGCCCAUCACUGGGUCAGCAAUCUCAAGAGUAGGCUUACGAUGAGUCGACCUGAAGCCUAGGGUAGAGAGCA
rnacentral:RNase_P_RNA from 2 species